rnacentral:rRNA from 1 species
CCAAUAGCGUAUAUUAAAGUUGUUGCAGUUAAAAAGCUCGUCGUUGAAUUUCGGGGUCAGUAGGUUGGUCAUGCCACUGGUAUGUACUGGUCUCACUGAUUCCUCCUUCCUGAUGAGCCGUAAUGCCAUUAAUUUGGUGUUGCGAGGAAUCUGGACUGUUACUUUGAAAAAAUUAGAGUGUUUAAAGCAGGCUAACGCUUGAAUACAUUAGCAUGGAAUAAUGAAAUAGGACGUUCGAUCUUAUUUUGUUGGUUUCUAGAUUGACGUAAUGAUUAAUAGGGAUAGUUGGGGGCAUUAGUAUUCAAUUGUCAGAGGUGAAAUUCUUGGAUUUAUUGAAGACUAACUACUGCGAAAGCAUUUGCCAAGGAUGUUUUCAUUAAUCAAGAACGAAAGUUAGGGGAUCGAAGACGAUCAGAUACCGUCGUAGUCUUAACCAUAAACUAUGCCGACUAGGGAUCGGAUGAUGUUAAUUUUUUAAUGACUCAUUCGGCGCCUUACG